rnacentral:tRNA from 1 species
GCCUGGGUGGCUCAGUCAGUUAAGCAUCUGACUUCGACUCAGAUCAUGACCUCGAGGUCUGUGAGUUCGAGUCCCGUGUCGGGCU